rnacentral:misc_RNA from 1 species
GAUGAAGAACGCAGCGAAAUGCGAUAAGUAAUGUGAAUUGCAGAAUUCAGUGAAUCAUCGAAUCUUUGAACGCACCUUGCACCCUUUGGUAUUCCGAAGGGUAUGCUCGUUUGAGUGUCAUUGUACUCUCACACUUCUAAUUCCUUUCGGGAUUGGGAGCGGUGGACUUGGGUGUUGCUGCUUUAGUUGUGGCUCACCUCAAAUAAGUUAGUGCAACUCUUGGUUGGAUAUAGUACGGCGUGAUAAGUGUCUUCGCCGGCGCCUCUGUAAGGAGGGUGGCCGAUCGGGAGCUCUGUGCUUCAAACCGUCUUCGGACAAUCUUUGACAACUUGACCUCAAAUCGAGUAGGACUACCCGCUGAACUUAAGCAUAUCAAUAAGCGGAGGA